rnacentral:tRNA from 2 species
GGGCCCGUAGUCUAACGGUUAGGACGAGACCUUCACACGGUUUAGAGGGGAGUUCGAUUCUCCCCGGGCCCA